rnacentral:lncRNA from 1 species
AGUGUGUUACCUGCCGACAGCAUAAUGUGAGGCAAGGUCUAGCUGUUCCCCCCCGGCAUACAAGCUUAUAGAGCAGCCUCCUUUGAAGAUCUCCAGGUGGACUUCACAGAGAUGCCAAAGUGUGGAGGUAACAAGUAUUUACUAGUUCUUUUGUGUACCUACUGUGGGUGGGUGGAGGCUUAUCCAACACUAACUGAGAAAGCUCGUGAAGUAACCUGUGUGCUUCUUCGAGAUCUUAUUCCUAGAUUUGGACUGCCCUUACGGAUCAGCUCAGAUAAUGGGCUAACGUUUGUGGCUGACUUGGUACAGAAGAUAGCAAAGGUAUUGGGGAUCAUUUGGAAACUGCAUGCCGCCUACCGGCCUCAGAGUUCCAGAAAGGCAGAGCAGAUGAAUCAGACUAUCAAAAAUAGUUUAGGGAAAGUAUGUCAGGAAACAGGAUUAAAAUGGAUACAUGCUCUCUAUAGUAUUAUUUAAAAUUAGAUGUACCCCUUCUAAAAGAACAGGAUAUUCCCCUUAGGAAAUAUUAUAUCAUGGGACCCUUCCCAUAUUGCAGGGACUUCCAGGCACUUCCUGAGAGUUAGGUGAAAUUGAGUUACAGCGACAGCUACAGGCUUUAGGAAAAAUUACACAAACAAUCUCAGCCUGGGUAAAUGAGAGACCCUGUUAGCUUAUUCUCCCCAGUUCACCUUUUCUCCCCAGGUGUUCGAGUGUGGAUCAAGGACUGGAACGUAGCCUCUUUGUGCCCAUGGUGGAAAGGACCCCAGACUGUCGUCCUGAUCACUCCCACUGCUGUGAACGUAGAGAGAAUCCUAGCCUGGAUCCAUCACAACCGUGUAAAACCUGCAGCGCCUGAAUCCUGGGAGGCAAGACCAAGUCUGGACAACCCCUGCAGAGUGACCCUGAAGAAGAUGACAAGCCCUGCUCCAGUCACACCCAGAAGCUGACUGGUCCACGCACAGCCGAAGCAUGAGGAAGCUCAUUGUGGGCUUCAUUUUUCUUAAAUUUUGGACUUACAGUAAGGGCUUCAACUGUUCUUACUCAAACUGGGGACUAUUCCCAGUGUAUUCAUCAGGUCAGUGAGGUAGGACAGCAAAUGAAAACAAUCUUUCUGUUCUAUAGUUAUUAUCAAUGUAUGGGAACGUUAAAAGAGACUUGUUUGUAUAAUGCCACUCAGUACAAGGUAUGUAGCCCAGGAAAUGACUGACCUGAUGUGUGUUAUAACCCAUCUGAGCCCCCUACAACCACCAGUUUUGAAAUAAGAUUAAGAACUGGCCUUUUCCUAGGUGAUACAAGUGAAAUAAUAACUAGAACAGAAGAAAAAGGAAUCCCCAAACAAGUAACUUUAAGAUUUGACGCUUGUGCAGCCAUUAAUAGUAACAAGCUAGGAACAGGAUGUGGUUCUCUUAACUGGGAAAGGAGCUACAGAGUAGAAAAUAAAUAUGUUUGUCAUGAGUCAGGGGUUUGUGAAAAUUGUGCCUUUUGGCCAUGUGUUAUUUAGGCUACUUGGAAAAAGAACAAAAAGGACUUGGUUCAUCUUCAGAAAGGGGAAGCCAACCCCUCCUGUGCUGCCAGUCACUGUAACCCACUAGAACUAAUAAUUACCAAUCCCCUAGAUCCCCAUUGGAAAAAGGGAGAAUGUGUAACCCUGGGGAUCAAAGGGACAGGGUUAAACCCCCAAGUUGCCAUUUUAGUUCAAGGGGAGGUCCACAAGCACUCUCCCAAACCAGUGUUUCAAACCUUUUAUGAGGAGUUAAAUCUGCCAGCACCAGAACUUCUGAAAAAGAUAAAAAAUUUGUUUCUCCAAUUAGCAGAAAAUGUAGCUCAUUCCCUUAAUGUUACUUCUUGUUAUAUAUGCGGGGGAACCACUAUCAGAGACCGAUGGCCUUGGGAAGCCUGAGAGUUGGUGCCCACUGAUCCAGCUCCUGAUAUAAUGGGGGCUUGUCCAGGAUCUCAUCAGGACUGGAUGGCUCUCGCUGGACUAUACUGGAUAUGUGGGCAGAGAGCCUACAUUCAGUUACCUAAUGAAUGGGCAGACAGUUGUGUUAUUGGCACUAUUAAGCCAUCCUUUUUCUUAUUACCGAUAAAAACUACUGGUACUAUCUGUAAAUUCCAGACAUUGUAUGAGAAAGCACUGUAAAACUUUUUGUUCUGUUAGCUGAUAUAUGUAGCCUCCAGUCACAUUCCUCAUGCUUACUUGAUCUAUCAUGACCCUUUCACGUGGACCCCUUAGAGUUGUAAGCCCUUAAAAGGGCUAGGAAUUUCUUUUUGGGGGAGCUUGGCUCUUAAGACAUGAGUCUGCCAAUGCUACCGGCCAAAUAAAAACCUCUUCCUUCUUU